rnacentral:lncRNA from 1 species
GCCCGGCAGCCCGUCUGCUCCCUGGACCCGCACCCGGCACGCACUGCGCGCGCGCACCGCGCACACCUGCCGGCCGUCUGCAGGAUGCGCCCGGGCGGCGGGGGCGUUGGCGCAGCCCGCCUAGUGAGGUCGCGAGUUCUGCUCCGUGGACGCCGGGGCUGGGGCGUCGUGGCGCGCUGCCUGGAAGAACCCAGCCCUUCCUCCGCUACAUCUGACUCGCCCGCCGGCCAAAGGCUGCAGAGGUCCUCUGAACAAUUAUCUAGAAAUGAAAUAAAUGAAACUUGAAUACUGAUUUGGUAAGAUUUUAAACAUAAAAGUUUUAGAAUUAUACAUAUAGUAUCUGUUUAUUGUAGAAACACNNNNNNNNNNNNNNNNNNNNNNNNNNNNNNNNNNNNNNNNNNNNNNNNNNNNNNNNNNNNNNNNNNNNNNNNNNNNNNNNNNNNNNNNNNNNNNNNNNNGUUUUAGAAUUAUACAUAUAGUAUCUGUUUAUUGUAGAAACACUGGAAUAUAUGGGAAAAUAGAAAUAAGGAAAUACCAAUACUUCUACCACCCAGAGAUAAUCACUUGUUAUUUUGGUGUCUUUCUUUCCAGUUUAUUUUUCUAAUAAUUAAAAAAAAAUACUGUGAUUGUAUGAUAUCUUAAUUUUCCUAUGUUACUUGAAAUGAGAAUAUUUUCCUAUAAAUCAUUAACAAAGGUUUGUAAAUAUUGUUUUGAUGAUCACAAAAUGGUAUUGUUGAGCUGGUAGAGACCUUUUUGCUUUCUGAGCUUAGUAACAAGCCAGUUUAGUAGAGGUUGAUGUAGAAGUAGUUUUCUCAGAACCAAAGGCUCUUCAAUAGUCUGAUCUGACUUACCGUAUCAUUAGGAAGUGACUGGACCAUUCAGAAACAAGUUAAAGGCAUGAGCAAAUCAUAUGGCUUCCCUCCUAUCUGAGGUGGAAUGUCAGGCGGAAGCCUUGGUUCUUGCCUUUUUUAGGUCAGUGAAGAUUCUCAUUAGUCUUGGAAGAACCUCCAGUGACGGGAUUACUGAGUGGUUCAGUCUUAACUACAAUCGGCCAGUCCGUUAACUUCCCCUAGUGGACAAACCAAAUGCCUUUCCUGACAUCGCCAGACUCUAGCCUAGAUGUCGCAUGUGCAGUAAGCAAAUAGUUCAGAUCCUGCUCUUGAUGCAUUAGCAACCUAGCUGAGAUCGUUAGUCAAAAUUUGUUUGGAAGUUUCUGUACAGGGUUACAUCUUUGAAGUGUCUCAUCAAUCAGUAAGCAUGUGGUAUAACAGAACGGAUUAUAAAGUGAUAUUCCAGUUUUUCAAAAUGAAACAAAUGAGGAAAAGUCUAUUCAGUUAUUUAGCCCAUGUGCACGGAGCAAACAUUUUGUAAGCCCUUGGGUUGUAUAUUUGGCUGAAUUCUGCAAUCAGGAAAGAGGUCACUACCUAGAAUAUAUGUCAAUUAUAGUCAAGAUGAGUCAUGUCCCUUCCAGAACUGAAGAAGUCCAAGAGUAAAAACUUGCCCCUAAAUGCCUGGUAAACUACCCUGAAAUAUAGUGUAAUAUCAGGGACUUAAAGUUAGUCUUGGAAGCUAGAAGACUGGACAUUUGACUAAAUAAAUGUCAUUUCUCCAACCUUGGAAAAAUCUCUCAUUUAGGAGCAGAUGAUGACCCUCAGGCAAAUAACAAUAAGAAAAUUUGUUUAAAGUAUACUGCACACAACAUAUUUUUCACAGAGCUUUUAAUCAGAAGAUUGUAUACUAGGCAUUAAUUCUAUAUUUAGCAUAAUCAAAUAAUGGAGUUCUUAUAGCUUAAAAAAAGCCAUUUAUUUCAGAAUAAACAACUCAUCCAUCUUAAAAGAGGUACUCUAAAUGAAUUUCAUGAUAGCACAAAAUAAUACACAUUUGUUAUCCUAAUCUGAAGAACAUAACUGUCACUUCUGGUGAGUUAUUCUUGAAUGAGCAAUAAGGUCAAUGGCUUAACAAAGAGAAGAAACAGAGAAGGGGAAAUAGAGAGAGGCCAGAUGUAUAUUUAUAUACCAACACCUGCUACUGAGAAAUUCCGAAGACCUCAUUCCAUGCAUGCUGUACUAAAAGCAGCCAUUUUAUCACAUGCACAUUUGAAUUGUUGGUGCAUUAGAUAAUACUCUUUUUCCAUUUGCUUUCCACACUUUAAGAUUUCUGAGAGUGUGGAGUGUCCAUAAUUAUGGUGCCUGAACACGUGGUAAUUCCGUCAGCCACAGGAAAGGGCAAAUUUGCUUUAUUCAGUUAUUGGUAUUGCCACAGGGCAAAACUGGCUCUUCACUACACAGGAAUUUAACACUUUCCAUUGCACUCAUUACCCUGUAUUAUAUGUAAAUAAAGACAUGAAUGUUUUCUAAGUUUCCACAAAUAUCUUUUUGACUACAGAUUCUCAUUUUAUUUCUUUGCUUGAUGCCCGCAUUAAAAUAAAACAGAUCAGGACAAAAGGUAAAUAAUUAACAUCACAAUUAAACCAGCUCUUUAACUAAAUAUGCAAAGGUGUUAAUUGCCCAUUUACAAAACCUUACUAAACUGAGCUCAAAUGUAUGUGUCUACAGAUGUAUAUAUAUAUAUACACACAAUAUAUAUAUAUUGCUUGUUAAUUUUUAAGAUUGGAUUUUGAAGAAAAAGUUAGGAUUCCACAUAUUAGGUACACAAAACUUACAAACAAAAUAGUGCUUGACAGUUAAAGCUGAAAGAGUAGGUUUUGAACCUGUUACUUUGGAUGACAUGUUAUAGGAAAAGGAUGCCUUUCAUAGUGAGAAACAGUUGCUCAGUUAGUGUUGCCAAUGAGUCAUUAAAAAAGAAACCUAAGACUGUGUCUAAGAAAUCAACACUAGUACUAGCUUUUGCAUUUUAUACUUUGUAGUAUUCAUUGAUGGAGAAGGAAAUGGCAACCCACUCCAGUGUUCUUGCCUGGAGAANNNNNGGGACAAAGGAGCCUGGUGGGCUGCUAUCUAUGGGAUCGCACAGAGUUGGAUGCGACUGAAGCGACUUAGCAGCAGCAGCAGCAGUAUUCAUUGGGGUAUUCAUUCAUUUCUUAAUUACAAAAUGUAUGAAUGGCCUUGUUUUCUGGAAUGAGAGAUUACCAAAAGUCAGGACCAGUAAAGUAAAUUUGCUCUAAAACCAUAAGCCUAAAAAUAGAAAUUUCUAUUAGACUCUCUUUUCAGAACGGUGAGGAGUUAAACUAACAGUUCUAGCUCUGGGACACUAGAGAAAAGUAUAAGAAUUUGCCAAGGGGAAACACUAAUUUAAAAGCAUGUAUGUAUAUGCAUUCAGCUAAGAAGAUCCGUGGGCUUCCCUGAUGGCUCAGUGGUAACUAAUCCACCUGCAGUACAGGAGAUGUGGAUUGAACCCGGGUUGCGAAGAUCGGAGUAGGAAAUGGUAACCCGCUCCAAUAUUUUGCCUGGAAAAUCCCAUGGAUGGAGAAGCUGGGCAGGCUACAGUCCAUAGGGUUGAAAAGAGUCAGAUACAACUGAGCAUACACACACACAAGACAAUCCCUAGAACGAGAAAAAAUGUUAAGAUUUUCAUAAGGAUUUCAUUUCUAUUAUGCUUGCCCUGUUGCUAGAGUUAACAUUGGCUAGGAUGGACAGCUUUUACACGCAAUCAUUGUAGGACUUUCAUUCCAAAUUUUAAGAUUGUGGCUGUAAAACAACUUUCAUAUAAAUGAGACAUUGAAAAAUCACUUUGUAAUACAAAAUAACAUCUGAG